rnacentral:rRNA from 1 species
ACUCUGUUGCCUCCGGGGCGACCCUGCCUUCGGGCGGGGGCUCCGGGUGGACACUUCAAACUCUUGCGUAACUUUGCAGUCUGAGUAAACUUAAUUAAUAAAUUAAAACUUUUAACAACGGAUCUCUUGGUUCUGGCAUCGAUGAAGAACGCAGCGAAAUGCGAUAAGUAAUGUGAAUUGCAGAAUUCAGUGAAUCAUCGAAUCUUUGAACGCACAUUGCGCCCCCUGGUAUUCCGGGGGGCAUGCCUGUUCGAGCGUCAUUUCACCACUCAAGCCUCGCUUGGUAUUGGGCAACGCGGUCCGCCGCGUGCCUCAAAUCGACCGGCUGGGUCUUCUGUCCCCUAAGCGUUGUGGAAACUAUUCGCUAAAGGGUGUUCGGGAGGCUACGCCGUAAAACAACCCCAUUUCUAAGGUUGACCUCGGAUCAGGUAGGGAUACCCGCUGAACUUAAGCAUAUCAAUAAGCGGAGGAAAAGAAACCAACAGGGAUUGCUCUAGUAACGGCGAGUGAAGCAGCAAUAGCUCAAAUUUGAAAUCUGGCGUCUUCGACGUCCGAGUUGUAAUUUGUAGAGGAUGCUUCUGAGUAACCACCGACCUAAGUUCCUUGGAACAGGACGUCAUAGAGGGUGAGAAUCCCGUAUGCGGUCGGAAAGGUGCUCUACACGUAGCUCCUUCGACGAGUCGAGUUGUUUGGGAAUGCAGCUCUAAAUGGGAGGUAAAUUUCUUCUAAAGCUAAAUAUUGGCCAGAGACCGAUAGCGCACAAGUAGAGUGAUCGAAAGAUGAAAAGCACUUUGGAAAGAGAGUUAAAAAGCACGUGAAAUUGUUAAAAGGGAAGGGAUUGCAACCAGACUUGCUCGCGGUGUUCCGCCGGUCUUCUGACCGGUCUACUCGCCGCGUUGCAGGCCAGCAUCGUCUGGUGCCGCUGGAUAAGACUUGAGGAA